rnacentral:rRNA from 1 species
AUUGAACGCUGGCGGCAGGCCUAACACAUGCAAGUCGAACGGCAGCACAGAAGAGCUUGCUCUUUGGGUGGCGAGUGGCGGACGGGUGAGUAAUGUCUGGGAAACUGCCCGAUGGAGGGGGAUAACUACUGGAAACGGUAGCUAAUACCGCAUAACGUCGCAAGACCAAAGUGGGGGACCUUCGGGCCUCACACCAUCGGAUGUGCCCAGAUGGGAUUAGCUAGUAGGUGGGGUAAUGGCUCACCUAGGCGACGAUCCCUAGCUGGUCUGAGAGAAUGACCAGCCACACUGGAACUGAGACACGGUCCAGACUCCUACGGGAGGCAGCAGUGGGGAAUAUUGCACAAUGGGCGCAAGCCUGAUGCAGCCAUGCCGCGUGUAUGAAGAAGGCCUUCGGGUUGUAAAGUACUUUCAGCGGGGAGGAAGGCGGUGAGGUUAAUAACCUCGCCGAUUGACGUUACCCGCAGAAGAAGCACCGGCUAACUCCGUGCCAGCAGCCGCGGUAA